rnacentral:rRNA from 1 species
AUUGAACGCUGGCGGCAGGCCUAACACAUGCAAGUCGAACGAGUGGCGGAAGGGUGAGUAAUGUCUGGGACACUGCCCGAUGGCGGGGGAUAACUACUGGAAACGGUAGCUAAUACCGCAUACCAUCGGAUGUGCCCAGAUGGGAUUAGCUAGUAGGUGGGGUAUAGGCUCACCUAGGAGACGAUCCCUAGCUGGGCUGUGAGGAAGACCAGCCACACGGGAACUGCGACACGGUCCAGACUCCUACGGGAGGAAGCAGUGGGGAAUAUUGCAAAAUGGGCGCAAGCCUGAUGCAGCCAUGCCGCGUGUAUGAAGAAGGCCGUCGGGUUGUAAAGUACUUUCAGCGAGGAGGCGUUACUCGCAGAAGAAGCACCGGCUAACUCCGUGCCAGCAGCCGCGGUAAUUC